rnacentral:tRNA from 1 species
GCCUGGCUAGCUCAGUUGGCAGUGCAUGUGACUCUUAAUUUCAGGGUUAUGGGUUCAAGCCCCAUGCUGGGCG